CUUGUUUUUAAUCAGCAUUAGUGAUGUGCCAAACUGUCAACAGCUCAUGAGCAAUAUGAACACUAUACUUCUUCACACCCCUUUGAGUUCAUAUCAAUCACUUGAAAAUAACAUUUUUUUUUUUUCAAAAUGAGCUGUCACUAUCAAUUUGAAUAGUGCCUGUUCAACUGGAAUUUGUCCAGUUUUUCAGCAAGCCAUUUGGUACAGUAUAUUAUGAAGAAAACAACUUGCAAAAGCAGAUUCUUUUCAUGAUAUUUGUAGAAUAGACAUGUAUACUUAAAUAUUCCAAGCUUCCAUUGCCAGAUUUGUUUCUCAACUGUUUUGCCAAGGUUUACAAAAAUACCUUCAGAAGAAACCAGACUGGAAAAUUAAAGAUACUCUCUUUAGAUUCUUUCUGUACUAAACCUGCGAUAACCUCACCCACCAUGUCAUUGCUACUAGAACUUCUUAGACAAGAAACAUGGUAUGUAGCUGUCCAAAAGGGCAAAGCUGACAGGAGACAGGACGCAAGAGAGGCAGGAGUGAAACGGGAAGUGAUUCUCCCCCUCUGCUCUGCGCUGUGAGGCCUCACCUGGAGCACUGUAUCUAGCUGGGGAGUCCUCGAGUCUUUUUGACCUUAUUUUCUUCCACUGUCAAACUGAGAAAUGAGACUGAAGCUGGAUAGGCAGCUGGCAGCCAGCCAAGAUCAACCCAUCACAAUAGUUUGAAACCGUAAAUCUUACU
ensembl:lncRNA